rnacentral:tRNA from 1 species
GCUCAUAUAGUUUAAAGAAAAACAAUAAAUUGUGGCUUUAUUAAUGCCCCUGGCUAUGAGCC